AUCGUGUUUCUUUUUACUUUCUAGGCCUAGUUUUCUCAAAUUUAUCCACCACCGUCAAUGCGCGUUAAUAAGCAUAGGCCUAUAUGACGUUUCUUUAUACCUUUCUUUGGUUUUUUUUGCGUAAUUAGUCUGCCAAAUAUGUCGAAACCGGUCUGGCGUUGGCUCCCGCGGGUCCUUUCCUCCCCUCUGCUCUGCCACACAGGCCCAAACACCUAUCCCUUCCUCUCAUAUGUAAGCUAUAGGUAACAUAUAUGAGAGGAAAAAAAUAGGUGUUGGGACUGUGUGGCAGAGGAGAGGGGAGAAAUGGACCGGCGGGAGCGAACGCCAAAACGAACUCGACAAUUUGGUUUCACUUAUAAGAAACGUAGCGAGGCAGGUUGAUGACUACGGACCAAACUCUCAUCGUUGCCUUUAUAAUGAUGCCCACAAUACUAUUUUCCCAUACACCUUACACGUACUAUCCGUAUACUAGUUGUCGCCUCCAUGUUGCCUCCUACUCCUCUACCCCAUAUCUUAAACGUACCAGUCUCCCUUUACGUCUAUUUCCUAAGGUCACAGAGAAGAGUAACCAGAUUUUCAUGUGUGCUUUUUUUUCCCGUUCAGUAUGCAAAAGCCGCCUCCUCCUGAUACCUCUUGGCACCCCUCCAUCCCUUCCUCAAUCCCCUGGCACUCUACACCCCCUCCAUUCUGAACUUUACCAUGAACUGUAUUGCCGUCUGGAAUUACAAUAUGCCCCAGAAAUCAAUGCAUACUACUGAGAAUAGAAUAAAAUGAAAAGAUCCAAUCCUAAUAUUAGUUUGAUAAGGCUUGCAUGUAAAACUAUCUCUAGCGUCACGAAACAGUCAGUGGAAAUCCCGGUGACUUCUGUGAGAGGCUUUUAAAACAUGCCACAGAGAAGGUUAAUCAAUUUUCAUGGAUGUUUUUCCCGUUCAAUAUGCGAAAACCGUGUAAAACUAUCUCUAGCGUCACAAAACAGUCAAUGGAAAUCCCAGCAACUUCUAGGAGCGGGUUUUCGAGCAGGUGAACUGAGGCUUCGAGACGCUUCAAAAUACAGGCUUUAAAUCAAGUCACGUGGAACGCCGUGCAAGCCAUGUGAUUCCUAUUAUAUUUGUAAGCAUUUAUUGUACCUCCUAACCCCGCCCUUGCUCUCCAUCAUGAGUAAAUUAAAGGUUUAUUAAUAUCGGGUCAUUUCCAGUUACUGUCCGGCAUAUUUUCCUACCCUGGUGGUCACGUGGACUGAAGGAAGGCCAAGUGUUUGCUAAUAUACAAUAGAAUGUUGUUAUGCUCACAGUUCCUCCCCUCUUCCUUUGGUAUGUAGUGUUGCCAAGUCAUUUCGUGUUAUAACCCAACAAAUUCUGUCCAUUAUUAAACAAGUGUAUAUGUUUCCAGAAUGUUCUAAUGCUCUCCUCAAGAAAGUGCGUAUGGAGAUUAACUUUUAUAGUCAAAAGGAUAGAAAGAUCAUUUGAUUAUACCCUCAAUCAUGCCUGCGAGAUUGUUCCGUCUGUAUAUAAUUCAAUAACGUUUUUUGCAACCAUUUCUCGCUCUAAAUCACUUCGGUUAGAAGGUCGUUCCAUUAGUAUUCAUUUCCUUUUCACCUAUUAAUUCAGUCCAAAUCACUUAGACGAUUCUGGAUAUUCGUUACGAGGGCUAAAAGGUACAUUAGUAUUGAUUGUGAUGACGGAUUUGUGAACCCGUAUAUUAGGGAGAAAGGCGACGAGUGGCGGGAAGCGAGACAAAGGGACAGUAUGGUGGCAGUGCGGCGAGGCGGGAACAUGCAGCGCGCUCUCCUCGUAAGUUCCUCAUUUAUCCUUUGUUAGUGAUUUAAAUUCAUGGGUUUGAGAGAUUAAGUGUGUGUUGAGAGUUUGUGUGUAUUUUCCUCCUUUCUCAUAGCAAUGGAGGACGCAUAGGCUAUACUCGUAUAUUAUAAUUCACGCGUUUUGGCAAUGUUUGAUGUUUUUUUCUAGUGUAUUCCAGUCACUUUGUUUUCGCUAGGUUGUUUUCGUCCUUACUGUUUAUUUUAUAUUUAUUUCGUCCUUUCUAUUGAUGAGAAGUUGUGUAAGUUUUCCUCUUCUCUCAUAUCAAAGACACAUAGGAAAGACACAUAGGACACAGGAAAGAUACAUGUGUUAUAUUAUUCACGUUUUUGGUAAUGUUUUAGGAAAGACACAUAGGAAACCGGAAAGAUACGUGUGUUAUAUCAUUGACGUUUUUAGUAAUGUUUUAGGAAAGACUCAUAGGACACAGGAAAGAUACGUGUGUUAUAUCAUUGACGUUUUUAGUAAUGUUUUAGGAAUGACACAUAGGACAUACGAAAGAUACGUGUGUUAUAUCAUUGACGUUUUUAGUAAUGUUUUAGGAAUGACACAUAGGACACAGGAAAGAUACGUGUGUUAUAUUAUUCACGUUUUGGGUAAUGUUUUAGGAAAGACACAUAGGACACAGGAAAGAUACGUGUGUUAUAUCAUUGACGUUUUUAGUAAUGUUUGAUCUGUUCGAAGCUUCACUGAGUUACUUUAUUGGACGGAGAGAGAGAGAGAGAGAGAGAGAGAGAGAGAGAGAGAGAGAGAGAGAGAGAGAGAGAGAGAGAGAGAGAGAGAGUCAGUCAGUCAGUCAGUCAAAAACACCGGUAACAAAUAAGAUAAACAAAUGAACAAGUAAACAAGACCACUUAAAUUACAUCAAAGACAAACGCUUUAGUCUCCCAUCGCCAUUAGUGUUCGUGUGGACGUGAAUGGCGGGGCGUGUCGUUCUGAGAGGGUGAUUUGCAUAAGGAGUGUCUGAGAGAGGGGAGUGGCGGGGAGUGAAUCGACCUCCUGGAGCUGUGCGUGGGGAGAAGGUGACACAUGCAAGGGAAUGACAAGGGAGAACACAUGGGAAGUUUUUUUAAGAUAAUGGGGCAUAAAAACCCACAUACUGUCAAAUAUAGGAGGCCGAGAGUGUAUUUGAAACCUGAUGGGAUAAAUAAACAAUGUAGAAAGAGAUGGACAAGUGAGAGAUGAUGUACGGUCAAGGAGAGCGUCUUCGUAAGAACUUAUAGCAUUGUACAUAGGAAGAACUUGCAAUGAAAGGGAUUAAGGUGUGAGGAUAUGGGUUACUGAAGAAAUUAUGCAAGGACGAGGAUAAGGGUUCAUUUUUAAGAUGCUACAAAGGGUAUGGAGGAAAAUAAACAAAGAUUGAGUUAUAGUUCAAGGGUUAAAGGUAUGAUAAUAUGGGUUACUAAAGAACUUAUGGAAGGACGAGGAUAUAUAUAAGGGUACAAUUUUAAGAUGCUGCAAAGGGUAUGGAGGAAAAUAAACAAAGAUUGAGUUACAGUAAAAGCGAUAAAAGUGUGAUUAUAAGAUACCAUAGUGUAAAUAUUGUGAAGAGCAUUUGAUUCAUACGUUCUGAUGGUUGACUGGGUGACUGGUGGUAGGUGGUUGAAGUUGGUUGGUUGUUGUUGGUGUGGUAUAUGAAAGACCGAGGUAGAAGUUGAUUUUAAACAUUGCACGAAGGAAGAGCAAAACAAAUGAGAAACGUAGAUGUAACGCCCCUAGAAAUUGCAUAUGAAAGACCGAGGUGAAGUUAUUUUUAAACAUUGCACGAAGGAGGAGCAAAACAAAUGAGAAACGUAGAUGUAAAUGCCCUAGAAAUUACUGAUGAAAAACCGAGGGAGAAGUUAUUUUUAAACAUUGCACGAAGGAGGAGCAAAACAAAUGAGAAACGUAGAUGUAAAUGCCCUAGAAAUUGCAUAUGAAAGACCGAGGCGAAAUUAUUUUUAAACAUUGCACGAAGGAGGAGGAAAACAAAUGAGAAACGUAGAUGUAAAUGCCCUAGAAAUUGCAUAUGAAAGACCGAGGGAGAAGUUAUUUUUAAACAUUGCACGAAGGAGGAGGAAAACAAAUGACAAACGUAGAUGUAAACGCCCUAGAAAUUGCAUAUGAAAGACCGAGGCGAAGUUAUUUUUAAACAUUGCACGAAGGAGGAGCAAAACAAAUGAGAAACGUAGAUGUUAAUGCCCAAGAAAUUGAUGAUGAAAGACCGAGGCGAAGUUAUUUUUAAACAUUGCACGAAGGAGGAGCAAAACAAAUGAGAAACGUAGAUGUAAAUGCCCUAGAAAUUGCUAUGAAAAACCGAGGGAGAAGUUAUUUUUAAACAUUGCACGAAGGAGGAGCAAAACAAAUGAGAAACGUGGAGUAAACGCCCUAGAAAUGUCUGUUUAAUGGAUAAGGGUAUGAGUGUAGGAGCGUAACAGACUUAUAGAUCGAAAUAAACACAAGCUGGAGUGACUGGUGAGUAUGUAGGAUCCAGUGAGUCAUUGAGUUGGCAAUACUGAUGCAACCUGGCGUCAUCAUUAGCCUUGUAUCGAUUGCGUUGUUUGUGUUCGCGAGAUAACCGUCACUUGGGUCAAUAUGCUUUUAACUCGAUCUAAUUCACUUUCACGGUGUUUCAAAAGUCUGCCAGGGAUAAUUAACGAUAAAUUUGUCUGGUUAUAUUAUGUGUAGCCUUCCCCUGUCAUUCUUUUAUUACGUUUCAAAGGCUGUGUUUUAAUUAGUCCUAAAUCUGUCGAGGCGAUCAUUAGUACGUUUUAAUUGUUCAUGGUUUACGAUAUAUCAGUCUGUCUUUGAACAUUAACCUUGAAUCUGAUUGGUUCAUUAUUAGUAUUGUCUUUUUCAUUAAUAUUUACGAUGUUUGAGAGUUUGUCGGUCAUAUUUAGCUAAGUAUCUGAAGGGUUUAUAUUUAGUAGGCUAUUCUCGUAACAUCAAACCUAACAACAUGAAAUCUACCUGGCUGUAUUAGACCAUUUUUCCAUAUAUCCUAUUCAAAUGAAACUACUUUAUAUCGUAGUAGUAGUAGUAGUAGUAGUAGUAGUAGUAGUAGCAUUAGUAGUAGUAUAGUGUAGCGUACUGAUGUAAAUUCAAUCAUCCCCUUAAGUAGCAUUGGAUUCUGUUAGUGUCAAGGUCUGUUUGUGUUCCGAAUCGAUUAGUGUUGUCCCGCCAGUCUCGUAACGACGCCUGAUUGUAAAAGUUCAUGUCCACGCAAUUUGUCAUGAGAGCUUCGUGAUACGCUGCGUUGGCUUUGGUCGAUGUGGAGAGCCGUGCAUUGAGCAAGAAAGGAAGAAAAGAGUAUGAGAGAAAAGAAGAAAGGAAGAAUGGCUAAGGAAGAGGAAGAAAGACAGAAGAAGGAAGGAGAAUGAGAGAGGAAGGAAAGGUUACAGGAGAAGGAAAACUGAGUAUGGGAGAGGAAGGAAAGGUUACAGGAGAAAAUAUGGAAGAGAUAGGAAGGAGAUGAGAAAGUAAGGAAUCGUUAUAGAAGGAAAGAAUGAGUAUGAAAGAAGUAUGAGAUAGGAAGAUAUUGUAAUAGAAAAAAGAAAGGAUGAAGAGAAUGAGAGAGAACGAAAGGAAUAAAGAAUGGGAGAAGGAAGGAAGGAAUAAGGGAAAUGAAAGAAAGGAAUAAUAAGCAAGCAGAGUUAUCAUUGAAGUUUAUUAUAAGAACAUUAGGAGACUUCAAAAGGCCAGUAGUGCAUUAGUUCGGGGAAGAGUUUAGCUUUAUCCUAUACUUAUAAAACAUAUAUAUACCAAUGCGCCUUGUACGUAUUUACCUAUGUAUGCUUGUAUCUAUCAAUCUAUUAUCUAUUAAGCUCUAUGUAUUUAUCUAUCUAGUUUGUGUUUGUUUUUCCUGCUUUUUGACAUUUUUAUUUCGAUUUUUUCUUCUCUUUUUCUUUUUCUUAUCUUUGUUUUUCUUCUUUAUCUUUAUU